CCUACGGGUGGCAGCAGUAGGGAAUAUUGCUCAAUGGGGGAAACCCUGAAGCAGCAACGCCGCGUGGAGGAUGAAGGUUUUCGGAUUGUAAACUCCUGUUGGUAGAGAAGAUAAUGACGGUAUCUGACGAAUAAGCACCGGCUAACUACGUGCCAGCAGCCGCGGUAAUACGUAGGGUGCAAGCGUUACCCGGAAUGACUGGGCGUAAAGGGCGCGUAGGCGGGAUAGCAAGUCAGAUGUGAAAGCCUAUGGCUUAACCAUAGAACUGCAUUUGAAACUGCUAGUCUAGAGUAUGGGAGGGGUAGGUGGAAUUCUUGGUGUAGGGGUAAAAUGCGUAGAGAUCAAGAGGAAUACUCAUUGCGAAGGCGACCUGCUAGAACAUAACUGACGCUGAUGCGCGAAAGCGUGGGGAGCAAACAGGAUUAGAUACCCGAGUAGUC
rnacentral:rRNA from 1 species